GGACUGGGGAACUGCAAAGCCAGUGUGGCCAAGACAGGCUUAGUGAGUGACUCUGAAGAGGUGUGAUCCGGAGAGUCUUGUGCUCAGGAAGCGUAACAUUGCUAGGCUGCCUCGCACGGACUGAGCCACAGACCCAGCGGUUCUUUCCAAAAUCUAAUUGCCUUGGUCUGAGGGUUUGAUUUUAAAACAGGAGUUUACUAUCUCAUUAUGCAACUGAGGCUAACCUCAAACUAACAUUUCUGCCUCAGCCUCCCAAUUGCUGGGGUUAUAGGCAGGCACCACUAUACCCAGCGCAACAGCCUGAGAUAGAAAAGACAGUCUUCAAAUCACAUAGAAUUGAAAGAAGGGUUAGAUACAUCUUGGGAAGAAAGAAAACGUUGUUUUCCCUUUUUGGGUUUGUGAGAAUAAGGCUGCCGUGCACAUGAAGUCCUCAUGUUCAGUUCUUUGGAUGUGCAGUGUAGGAGUGCAGUGUAUGAAUGGAAUCACAAGAUGCAUUGUAUUUUGUGUUGCAGUUUUUAAAGAACUACCAAACCGUUUUUUCUGACUCUGGCAUGCUGACUUCAAAACUUGCUACAUUGCUGUAGUAGUUAAAAUAGUAUUAUUAGUCUAAGAACAUAAAUACAGACAAUUGUAAUAAAAUGGAGAUAUAAAGAACAAAUACUAGGGUAGUGAGUUGUAUUUUAGCAAGGCUUUCAAGCCCAUUUGAUUAGGAAAGGAUGCUCUUCAACAAAUGGUGUUGAGAAAACUUGAUGUCAGUGUGCCUCCAAAAAAAAAAUAAUAAUUUCGCUUGGAAUCUUAACACCAAAAUUAACUAGAAAUGGACCAAGCUCUAAAAUAAAGAGCCAAUACUAUAAAACUUAUUUUUUAAAGAACCCUAGUAGAACUUUUAAUGAUAUAGUUGACUGGGUUUGUGCAUAAGGCAUCAGAAACAGGGAACAAAAAAUAAAAACAAGCUGGCCUUCAUCACAGUUAAAGUCUUGUAUAUUGGACUGGAAAGGUAGCUUUCAGAGUAAAGGUGCUUGCUGCCAGGCCUGACCACCUGAGCUCCAUCCCCCCAGUAAAAAACUGUUGUCUCAGCCUUCACCUGCCCUCAAACACUGAAAUCCCACUUUCUUUAGAAACAAAUACACCUUUCACAGUCUGAAAUAUUAUGCUCAAAGACCACAAAAUGUAGCUCUUGAACUUGUGGGACUGAGGUUGGGCAAGCAGUAUAGAGAAUU
rnacentral:lncRNA from 1 species